UUGCCAAACACCACCUGGAGGAUUAACUAUAAUUUGAAAACUCAUACCGGCUAUAACCGUUGCUGCAACCAUCAGGUUGCCUCUUGUUUUUUCUAACCAGUCGCCUUGAUGGUUUAGGGGCAGACACAGGUUGCGUUUCUGGAGAUGCUACUCAUACUUCUCUUCUAAAAUCCAUGUCAGUUUUUGAUUGUUCGGAUAUCCAAUCUCUCCCAAUUCAAUACCUAUUCUGAUAUUUUGUUACUUCGAUUCGGAUUUUGGUUUGGGUUUUUCGGGUCGAGUUCGGGUGCGGCUCCAGAUAUAAAAUAAAGUGCCCAUGCCUAGAAAUGAAGUAAGAAGUAAAAAAGAUUCUCUACUAUACAUCGACAAUAAGAAAAGCGUGUUGGUGCGUGUGGCAUGUGGUGGUCUAAUGCGUAGUUUCACUCGCCCCCAGCUGAGGUUCGAUCAAGAUUGGAUAGAAAUUUUUAAAAAAUGUUAAGUAGUUUUGUGGUUGGACACUGUAAUGCUUUCGAUAUGUUCGAAGGUUCGAAUCUCCAUGGACCCAAAAAGAAUUUCAGCCACAGAGGUUCAGCUUUGAGAGAAAACCAUCCAAACCACCGAUUAGAUCAUCCAUUACUAAAUGACAUAUUUUUGAUUUUUUUGUUAGUACUUAUAAGUAUGCAGAUCUUUUUAGAUAAAUAUUAGUUAUUGAAAAUUAUUAGUUAGAAUAACUUUUUUGGACUCUCCAACAAUUUAAAAUUUUAUUAAAGUUAAAUAUAUUACUAAUAGUUUAUAGUAAAUUUCUAUGUUAAAUUAUAGUCAAAAUCUAAAAUACUAACUAAAAGUUAACCGCAAAACAGUUUUCUUCUUGUUGUAAUUUAUCCUUUUACGUUUUUGCAGCAUACUAACCUUUAUCCAAAAAUUUCAUUUGCCCUUUUGUCUUUUAAUUAUAUAAUUUAGUUUCUAUUGAAAAUUCUAGUAUCGAUCGCCACAAGUGAAAUAUUUGUUUUGAAAUUGAAAAUGAUAAAGAAUUACUUGCGAUCUACCAUGUCACAAAAAUGUUAAACAAAUUGGAUAUGUUGUAAAUUGAGACGACUAUGAUUGAAAGCCUUAACUAUAAAAGUUUAACAGAUGAAUUUUGCAGGAAAAAAGUAAGAAAUUCUAUAUUUUAAUAAUAAAUGUCUUUU